GACGAACGCUGGCGGCGUGCCUAAUACAUGCAAGUAGAACGCUAAAGAGAGGAGCUUGCUCUUCUUGGAUGAGUUGCGAACGGGUGAGUAACGCGUAAGUACCCUGCCUUGGAGCGGGGGAGAACUAUUGGAAACGAUAGCUAAUACCGCAUAACAAUGAAUGACACAUGUCAUUUAUUUGAAAGGGGCAAUUGCUCCACUACACGAUGGACCUGCGUUGUAUUAGCUAGUAGGUGAGGUAAUGGCUCACCUAGGCGACGAUACAUAGCCGACCUGAGCGGGACAACCGGCAACACGGGGACGAAGACACGCCCAAGACCCCUCGGGGGGGCGCCGGAGGGAAACUUUGGCCAUUGGGGGAAAGCUGAACCAGGCAAGCCGCGUGGGUGAAGGAGGGUUUCCGAUCUUAAAGCUGCGUUGUUAGUGAAGAAAGGGUGUGUGACUGGAACCUUCACACUGUGACGGUAGCUUAACAGAAAGCGACGGCUAACUACGUG
rnacentral:rRNA from 1 species